rnacentral:rRNA from 1 species
AAAGGAAUAGACGGGGGCCCGCACAAGCGGUGGAGCAUGUGGUUUAAUUCGAUGCAACGCGAAGAACCUUACCUACUCUUGACAUCCAGAGAAUCUGGCGGAGACGCUAGAGUGCCUUCGGGAGCUCUGAGACAGGUGCUGCAUGGCUGUCGUCAGCUCGUGUUGUGAAAUGUUGGGUUAAGUCCCGCAACGAGCGCAACCCUUAUCCUUGUUUGCCAGCACUUCGGGUGGGAACUCCAGGGAGACUGCCGGUGAUAAACCGGAGGAAGGUGGGGACGACGUCAAGUCAUCAUGGCCCUUACGAGUAGGGCUACACACGUGCUACAAUGGCGCAUACAGAGGGCGGCGAGACAGCGAUGUUAAGCGAAUCCCAAAAAGUGCGUCGUAGUCCGGAUUGGAGUCUGCAACUCGACUCCAUGAAGUCGGAAUCGCUAGUAAUCGUGAAUCAGAAUGUCACGGUGAAUACGUUCCCGGGCCUUGUACACACCGCCCGU